UGGUCAGGCAGUACUGGGCCUUGGAGUGC
rnacentral:piRNA from 1 species